CUUAUAUAAGAGCUGUUUUAAGUUUUGCCUUUAAUGUAGAGCAAAAGCACAAUGUAGACAAAAUUAUUUGAUGUUUUUAACCUUAUAUGGUGUACUUUAAUUUGGCCUAAGUUCAAUUUAAAUUUCUAGUCUUUGAGCUGUUAAUUUAAGUUAUUUUUUUUCUAAUCAUACAUUCUCAUGAAAAAGUAAAUUUCUCUGUUACUACGUUACAUUAAGUGUACAUAUUAGUACCUUUUAGCUUUUGUACCUACACAGGAAAAAUGAGAGAGUACUUUUUUCGGAGUUACCAUCAGUAAUUUUUAUUUAAGUAGGUGUAAAAACGUAGUGGAAAUAUGUUGGAGUAAACCAGCGAGACCACGCCCACUCUACUUUCUUAAGUUUCGUUUCUUCCGCCAUUUUGUUAUCCCGCAGCGGCCGGAGGAAGAUAGAGGCUGUGACUGAGUAAGGAAGCCAGCUACUUUUGAAACGACCAGCUCCAUAAUUCCUACUGAUAUUUAUCAGGAAAGAUGCAAGCUGUGCGUGAACAUGUCAAACGCCAAAAAAAAAAAACGAUUUGAAGGUCAGCUGACCUUCAAAUCGUUUUGGGAAUGCGCUGCCAAAUAGUUCAACAUCCCAACAUUGGACUUGAAAGUGUUUGAUGACUCAAAGACAGAAGUUGAUGAGCAGGUUUUUGAUCUCCUGUUGAAAAACCCAAACCUUGGUGUGUUGGAAAUUUGUCUGGCCGAAGAUACAAAUCCAGAAGAUCAGCCGAGUUGUCCUGCAAAGAGCUGCAAUACCAGUUCAAGUGGAGAUACUGAAGUGGACUCAGAUGACACAAUAAUAUUACAACACAGUCCUACAACAAGACGAAGAGUUGAAGACACCUCUCUUGCCAAAGUGGUUGCUGUCAUUGGUGAGGAUGCAUCAUCCGUUGAAGGUCAUGUGAAUGUCCUGCAUAUCCAGUACAGCAAGGUGCGAGAGGAUAUACUAAAGAAGUACCCUUUCUUGAAGACAACUUCAGGGUUGUUUGAUGAUGUUGACCAAGUGCAUCCAUCACCUGUCAGUUUAAGCCAGAGCUUCAAGGACGGCGUUUACCAGUGUUGUGCCAAAGGUGCUAUAGCUUGUUCAAAGAAAAGCUCCAUUAGCCAAAGUCUCCAAAGAAGCAAGAGAAGAGAUGCUUGCAGAGGAUCUACUAGGUAUUGACAUAAAACGUAAUCUUUAGUGUGUUUUAUAGUUCUUCUUUUUAGAAUUCGUAUCAAUAUUAUCUUAUCACAUUUAUGCAUUUUAUUAUUUA